UACAGAGGGUGCAAGCGUUAAUCGGAAUUACUGGGCGUAAAGCGUGCGUAGUCGGUUAUCUAAGUCGGGUGUGAAAUCCCCGGGCUCAACCUGGGAAUUGCAUUCGAUACUGGAUAGCUAGAGUUCGGCAGAGGGAAGCGGAAUUUCGGGUGUAGCGGUGAAAUGCGUAGAGAUGCGGAGGAACACCGAUGGCGAAGGCAGCCCCCUGGGCUAGCACUGACGCUCAGGUACGAAAACGUGGGGAGCAAACAAGG
rnacentral:rRNA from 1 species